GCAGCCGCCGCGGUAAAACGAAGGGUGCAAGCGUUACUCGGAAUUACUGGGCGUAAAGCGUGCGUAGGUGGUGGUUUAAGUCCGUUGUGAAAGCCCUGGGCUCAACCUGGGAAUUGCAGUGGAUACUGGGUCACUAGAGUGUGGUAGAGGAUAGUGGAAUUUCCGGUGUAGCAGUGAAAUGCGUAGAGAUCGGAAGGAACAUCUGUGGCGAAGGCGACUAUCUGGGCCAACACUGACACUGAGGCACGAAAGCGUGGGGAGCAAACAGGAUUAGAUACCCCGGUAGUCCCUGUCUCUUAUAC
rnacentral:rRNA from 1 species